rnacentral:rRNA from 1 species
AUUCAGCGGCGGACGGGUGAGUAAUGCCUAGGAAUCUGCCUGGUAGUGGGGGACAACGUUUCGAAAGGAACGCUAAUACCGCAUACGUCCUACGGGAGAAAGCAGGGGACCUUCGGGCCUUGCGCUAUCAGAUGAGCCUAGGUCGGAUUAGCUAGUUGGUGAGGUAAUGGCUCACCAAGGCGACGAUCCGUAACUGGUCUGAGAGGAUGAUCAGUCACACUGGAACUGAGACACGGUCCAGACUCCUACGGGAGGCAGCAGUGGGGAAUAUUGGACAAUGGGCGAAAGCCUGAUCCAGCCAUGCCGCGUGUGUGAAGAAGGUCUUCGGAUUGUAAAGCACUUUAAGUUGGGAGGAAGGGUUGUAGAUUAAUACUCUGCAAUUUUGACGUUACCGACAGAAUAAGCACCGGCUAACUCUGUGCCAGCAGCCGCGGUAAUACAGAGGGUGCAAGCGUUAAUCGGAAUUACUGGGCGUAAAGCGCGCGUAGGUGGUUUGUUAAGUUGGAUGUGAAAUCCCCGGGCUCAACCUGGGAACUGCAUCCAAAACUGGCAAGCUAGAGUAUGGUAGAGGGUGGUGGAAUUUCCUGUGUAGCGGUGAAAUGCGUAGAUAUAGGAAGGAACACCAGUGG